AGGACUAUAAUUUAUAAAAAAUAUUUAAUUUGCACUUAAAAAAAACUCCACGAGUUUGUCUUA
rnacentral:tRNA from 1 species